GACGAACGCUGGCGGCGUGCUUAACACAUGCAAGUCGAACGGAAGGGCCCUGCUUUUGUGGGGUGCUCGAGUGGCGAACGGGUGAGUAACACGUGAGUAACCUGCCCUUGACUUUGGGAUAACUUCAGGAAACUGGGGCUAAUACCGGAUAGGAGCUCCUGCUGCAUGGUGGGGGUUGGAAAGUUUCGGCGGUUGGGGAUGGACUCGCGGCUUAUCAGCUUGUUGGUGGGGUAGUGGCUUACCAAGGCUUUGACGGGUAGCCGGCCUGAGAGGGUGACCGGCCACAUUGGGACUGAGAUACGGCCCAGAAUCCUACGGGAGGCAGCAGUGGGGAAUAUUGCACAAUGGGCGGAAGCCUGAUGCAGCAACGCCGCGUGCGGGAUGACGGCCUUCGGGUUGUAAACCGCUUUCGCCUGUGACGAAGCGUGAGUGACGGUAAUGGGUAAAGAAGCACCGGCUAACUACGUG
rnacentral:rRNA from 1 species